GCGAUUACAUCAUCGAUCUACAAAGAGCAUUGUCGUGAGUAGUAAAAGGGUUCGCGAGGUAUUAAUUCAUGAAUGAAGUCGAUGGGGAUUCGUGAACGUGCAUUGAGUAGAAAAUUAUGUGACGUCGCUUUGCUUAAUCGAUCGAUCCUGUUGAAUCUUAUUCAUCAGACGCAUUUAUAUGCAUUGCGGACUCAAUUUAGUAACUAUGGUGUUAUGCAGCAAAAGUUAAAAGAUCGAGUCCUUCAAGUAUCGAAGACAAAAACAUUCUCGACAUACCGAUUCAAUUUUGAAAGCAUGACAAAACUAUACGGAAUGACGUUUACACAUGUGUAUUUCGCGUUCUUAAAUGAUUAGAAUCCAGGAUGUAAGCUUUUAACUAAAGUAGAAAAUAUAUACGUUUAACGGAACUACGCAACGAAGAAGGAAUGUACGAAUUACGUAAAUUAAAUACAUCUAACGAUAGCGAACAAAGAAAGCUCAUUUUUCAAAUACUAAGUGAUACGUAACUAAUUAAAAUAUAAGUUAAUUUUAUCAACAGUUUCUUCUAAUAAAAAUUUUGUAAGUUUCCUGAAAAUACUAAUUUUCGUAGAGUAUUCUAAAUUAAGUUGAACUAAAAUUUUUAAGUCGUAGUUAAACAUUUCUUUUAACUCAACGAUUAUUUUUUUGUUACUCUGAAACACGUUGAUUAUUCAAUAUCACAAAAACAAAAAA